UAUCAUUUUUCAUCUCAUUUCAUCUCAAUUCAUCUCAUCAUUUCAUCUCCUCAUCUCAUCAUUUCCUCCUUUCAUUACAACAUUUCAUCUCAUUUCUUCUCAUCUCAUUUCAAUUUCAUUAUUUCAUCUCAUUUCAUUAUUUCACCUAAUUUCAUUAUUUCAUCUCAUCUCAUCUCAGUUCAUCUGAUCUCAUUUCAUCUCAGCAUUUCAUCUCAUCAUUUUUCAUCUCAUCAUUUUUCAUCUCAUCAUUUAAUCUCAUUUCAUUAUUUCACCUAAUUUCAUUAUUUCAUCUCAUCUCAUCUCAGUUCAUCUGAUCUCAUUUCAUCUCAGCAUUUCAUC
rnacentral:lncRNA from 1 species